rnacentral:rRNA from 1 species
UACAGAGGUCUCAAGCGUUGUUCGGAUUCAUUGGGCGUAAAGGGUGCGUAGGCGGCGCGGUAAGUCGGGUGUGAAAUCUCGGAGCUUAACUCCGAAACUGCAUUCGAUACUGCUGUGCUUGAGGACUGGAGAGGAGACUGGAAUUUACGGUGUAGCGGUGAAAUGCGUAGAUAUCGUAAGGAAGACCAGUGGCGAAGGCGGGUCUCUGGACAGUUCCUGACGCUGAGGCACGAAGGUGAGGGGAGCAAACGGG